rnacentral:tRNA from 1 species
GGAUUGUAGCUCAGUGGUAGAGCAUUUGCCAUGCAUGUGUGAGGCACUGGGUUCGAUCCUCAGCACCA